UAGACGAAGCACCCGCACUGAGAGGCCCAAACCAAGCUGAAGAAUUCCAAGGUCCUGAGCAAGAGGAGCCUGGUGAUUUCGAAAGCGAAUCGCAAUCCGAUGAAGACGGUUCAGAAUACUUCAAGAAAUAGACAUCACCCUCCACGCCUACACAUCACGAGAAUGGGUGUUAAUUAGAUAAAAACCACUUUUGAUUCUUUAAUAAAUAAAUAAUGGUUAAGUUUCUUCAAUCUUUCUAUCCAAAAUGUUAAAUCUAAAUUAGCUGGCAAUAAAAAAUAUCGCAAA